rnacentral:lncRNA from 1 species
CGGCCGCGGGCGCGGGCCGGGGCGUGGAGGGCGCCGCGCCCGCGCUCCGGCCCGUCUUUGUGCCGGGACGACCCCGAGUCGCCCCGCGGCGCCGUGCGAGGUGCGGCCGCCGCCCGGGGCCGGGCUCCCCGCCCCCAGCGGUUUAAACGAGGCGUCCCCAGCCGGGGCUCCUGCCAGGCGGCCCGAGCAGGAAGUGUCGUCAGGAGGCCAUUUUUAAAGCCUCCUGCGGGCCUCGUCGUUGAGCGCUGAUGCUCGCAGGGCUUCCAGUGGUCACAGGAGCCGCCCCCGGCCACGCCCGCAGGGGGCCCGGGCCGCCCCAGGGGCCACGACGAAGCUCGGGUCCGGCGCCCAGGCUGUUGGCCCUGGACUGGCCUGGCCGGCGCGCCGUCGAGGGGAAGCCAGCCAACAAUGAACCCGGGACCCUGCUGGCAUUGUCUUCCCCCGGGAGUGCCCAGGAGGCGGUCCCCGGCCUCCCUGUGUAG